CCUACGGGAGGCUGCAGUCGAGAAUCAUUCACAAUGGGGGAAACCCUGAUGGUGCGACGCCGCGUGGGGGAAUGAAGGUCUUCGGAUUGUAAACCCCUGUCAUGUGGGAGCAAAUUAAAAAGAUAGUACCACAAGAGGAAGAGACGGCUAACUCUGUGCCAGCAGCCGCGGUAAUACAGAGGUCUCAAGCGUUGUUCGGAAUCACUGGGCGUAAAGCGUGCGUAGGCUGUUUCGUAAGUCGUGUGUGAAAGGCGCGGGCUCAACCCGCGGACGGCACAUGAUACUGCGAGACUAGAGUAAGGGAGGGGGAACCGGAAUUCGCGGUGUAGCAGUGAAAUGCGUAGAUAGCGAGAGGAACACUCGUGGCGAAGGCGGGUUCCUGGACAUUAACUGACGCUGAGGCACGAAGGCCAGGGGAGCGAAAGGGAUUAGAUACCCUAGUAGUC
rnacentral:rRNA from 1 species